CCCUUAGAUGUUCUGGGCGGCCCGCGCACUACAUUGGCACUGGCAACAAGAUCCUAGAUCUGAUAUUUCGGGGUAUUCUACCAACUGGUGUCGUGACUGGGAUUAACCCCUGCAAUUAUUGGUUAUGAACGAGGAAUUCCUUGUAAUCACGGUUUAUCAACCCGUGUUGAAUGCGUCCCUGCCCUUUGUACACACCGCCCGUCGCUCCUACCGAUGAAUCGUCCGGUGAAGUUCAUGGAGUCGCGGCUGCUCCAGCUGUUUUCGAAGUGAAAUGGACCUCAUGAUUUAGAGGAAGGAGAANUCGUAACA
rnacentral:rRNA from 1 species